GACGAACGCUGGCGGCGUGCUUAACACAUGCAAGUCGAACGGAAAGGCCCUGCUUUUGUGGGGUGCUCGAGUGGCGAACGGGUGAGUAACACGUGAGUAACCUGCCCUUGACUUUGGGAUAACUUCAGGAAACUGGGGCUAAUACCGGAUAGGAGCUCCUGCUGCAUGGUGGGGGUUUGAAAGUUUCGGCGGUUGGGGAUGGACUCGCGGCUUAUCAGCUUGUUGGUGGGGUAGUGGCUUACCCAGGCUUUGACGGGUAGCCGGCCUGAGAGGGUGACAGGCCACAUUGGGACUGAGAUACGGCCCAGACUCCUACGGGAGGCAGCAGUGGGGAAUAUUGCACAAUGGGCGGAAGCCUGAUGCAGCAACGCCGCGUGCGGGAUGACGGCCUUCGGGUUGUAAACCGCUUUCGCCUGUGACGAAGCGUGAGUGACGGUAAUGGGUAAAGAAGCACCGGCUAACUACGUG
rnacentral:rRNA from 1 species